GCUGAAAUAAAGGGGUGCUCCAAAGCGGGCUGAGAUUAUACCCAAUGAACCUGGAACGGGUAAUGCUGUUUAGGGAAACAUUCAUUAUAAUUGA
rnacentral:ncRNA from 1 species